rnacentral:rRNA from 1 species
GGAUGAUCAGCCACACUGGAACUGACACACGGUCCAGACUCCUACGGGAGGCAGCAGUGAGGAAUUUUGCGCAAUGGGGGCAACCCUGACGCAGCAACGCCGCGUGAGUGAUGAAGGCUUUCGGGUCGUAAAGCUCUGUCAAGUGGAAAGAAAUCAUAGAAGGUUAAUACCCUUUUAUAUUGACGGUACCACUGAAGGAAGCACCGGCUAACUCCGUGCCGGCAGCCGCGGUAAUACGGGGGGUGCAAACGUUAUUCGGAUUUAUUGGGCGUAAAGGGCGCGUAGGCGGCUCUGUAAGUCGGAUGUGAAAUUCCGGGGUUUAAUUCCGGCACUGCAUUCGAAACUACAGAGCUUGAGUAUGGGAGAGGGUAGUGGAAUUCCUGGUGUAGAGGUGAAAUUCGUAGAUAUCAGGAGGAAUACCGGUGGUGAAGGCGACUACCUGGACCAAUACUGACGCUGAGGCGCGAAGGCGUGGGGAGCAAAUAGGAUUAGAUACCCUGGUAGUCCACGCAGUAAACGUUGAACACUAGGUGUAGUGGGUAUUGAUUCCUGCUGCGCCGCAGCUAACGCAUUAAGUGUUCCGCCUGGGGAGUACGGUCGCAAGAUUAAAACUCAAAGGAAUUGACGGGGGCCCGCACAAGCGGUGGAGCAUGUGGUUUAAUUCGACACAAUGCGAAGAACCUUACCUAGAUUUGACAUCCUGAGAAUUCUUUUGAAAGAGAGAAGUGCCCUUCGGGGAAUUCAGAGACAGGUGCUGCAUGGCUGUCGUCAGCUCGUGUUGUGAGAUGUUGGGUUAAGUCCCGCAACGAGCGCAACCCUUGUCUUCAGUUAUUAUUAUUUAGUUGGGGAUUCUGGAGAUACUGCCCCGGUUAACGGGGAGGAAGGUGGGGAUGACGUCAAGUCCUCAUGGCCCUUAUAUCUAGGGCUACACACGUGCUACAAUGGUAUGUACAAAGAGCAGCGAACCCGCGAGGGCAAGCGAAUCUCAUAAAGCAUAUCUCAGUUCGGAUUGGAGUCUGCAACUCGACUCCAUGAAGUUGGAAUCGCUAGUAAUCGCGGAUUAGUAUGCCGCGGUGAAUACGUUCCCGGGCCUUGUACACACCGCCCGUCACACCAUGAGAGUUGAUUGUACCAGAAGUUGUCGGGCCAACCCGUAAGGGGGGCAAACACCUAAGGUAUGGUUGAUGAUUAGGGUGAAGUCGAAACAAGGUA